rnacentral:rRNA from 1 species
AGCGAACGCUGGCGGCAGGCCUAACACAUGCAAGUCGAACGAAGUCUUCGGACUUAGUGGCGGACGGGUGAGUAACACGUGGGAACGUGCCUUUAGGUUCGGAAUAACUCAGGGAAACUUGUGCUAAUACCGCAUGUGCCCUUCGGGGGAAAGAUUUAUCGCCUAUAGCGCGGCCCGCGUCUGAUUAGCUAGUUGGUGAGGUAAAGGCUCACCAAGGCUACGAUCAGUAGCUGGUCUGAGAGGAGGACCAGCCACAUUGGGACUGAGACACGGCCCAAACUCCUACGGGAGGCAGCAGCGGGGAAUCUUGCGCAAUGGGCGAAAGCCUGACGCAGCCAUGCCGCGUGGAUGAUGAAGGUCUUAGGAUUGUAAAAUCCUUUCACCGGUGAAGAUAAUGACUGUAGCCGGAGAAGGAGCCCCGGCUAACUUCGUGCCAGCCGCCGCAGUAAAAC